AUUGAACGCUGGCGGCAGGCCUAACACAUGCAAGUCGAGCGGAUGAAGAGUACGUGCUCGUUGAUUCGGGUGCGGACUGGUGGGUGGGUCCGAAAAAUCUCCCAAUUUGUUUUUUAGAACGGCCUAAAGCAGGCGCUAAUACGCCAAUCGUCCUUAGGACGUACGUGUGAAAGCUUGGGACCUCACGCUAUCGCGUGAUCCUAGGUCGGAUUAGCUAGUUGGUUGGGUAAAGGCCUACCAAGGCGACGAUCCGUAACUGGUCUGAGAGGAUGAUCAGUCACACUGGAACUGAGACACGGUCCAGACUCCUACGGGAGGCAGCAGUGGGGAAUAUUGGACAAUGGGCGCAAGCCUGAUCCAGCCAUGCCGCGUGUGUGAAGAAGGUCUUCGGAUUGUAAAGCCCUUUAAUUUGGAAGGAAGGGCAGUAAGUUAAUACCCCGCUGUUCUGACGUUACCCAAAGAAUAAGCACCGGCUAACCUCGUG
rnacentral:rRNA from 1 species